rnacentral:misc_RNA from 1 species
CAACACUCAAGCUCUGCUUGGUCUUGAGCCCCGCCGGCAACGGCAGGCUUUAAAAUCAGUGGCGGCGCCACCUGGCUCUAAGCGUAGUAAUACACCCCGCUACAGUGUCCCGGUGGCUGCUUGCCAGCAACCUCCAACUUCUAA